CUCUGGCCUCCUCUUCUGCUCUCUAAGUCGUAAGAACGGAGAGAAAGAAGUACUCACUAAGCACUUUCACUCGUGAUUUAGGGCGAUUUAGAGUUGGAUUUUGAAUAUGCUGAAGUGGAAGAAAAGAUAGACGAAGGCAUUAUUUCAUCACUUUUUGGAGUCAUUUAGAGCUUCAGGAGUACGAUUUGCCUAGCGAAGUGAACUACGAAGUUGAAGAUCAAGGUAAAAUAAUUCAUCUUAGUAGCAAACAAGGAGGAGAUGACGUGAUUGAAGAAAUUGUGUAUCCAUCUUCGCUGUCCCUUGUGAGGUGAUGACCACAUACAUGCAAGUGCUAUUUUCAUACUUUUGAUAGCAGAAAGAAAAAUCCGUGUGUAAUAUUGAUGUUCAUGUGAUAAUAGGUCGACUCCGUUCAUAUAUUACUAGUGACGGAUAUUUAUUCGAACUAUUUGGAUGCUUAAUUGCAUUCGCAAGCACAUCCAUAUUGGA